rnacentral:snRNA from 1 species
AUCACUUCUCGGCCUUUGGCUAAGAUCAAGUGU